rnacentral:rRNA from 1 species
CCCUACGGGAGGCUGCAGUGGGGAAUCUUGCGCAAUGGGCGAAAGCCUGACGCAGCAACGCCGCGUGAGGGAAGAAGGCCUUCGGGUUGUAAACCUCUUUCAGUAGGGACGAAGCUUCCGGGGUUAAUAGCCUACGGGGUGACGGUACCUACAGAAGAAGCACCGGCUAACUACGUGCCAGCAGCCGCGGUAAUACGUAGGGUGCAAGCGUUGUCCGGAUUUAUUGGGCGUAAAGAGCUCGUAGGCGGUUAGUCACGUCGGAUGUGAAAACCCGGAGCUUAACUCCGGGCCUGCAUUCGAUACGGGCUGACUCGAGUGUUGUAGGGGAGACUGGAACUCCUGGUGUAGCGGUGAAAUGCGCAGAUAUCAGGAAGAACACCGGUGGCGAAGGCGGGUCUCUGGGCAACUACUGACGCUGAGGAGCGAAAGCGUGGGGAGCAAACAGGAUUAGAUACCCUGGUAGUCCACGCCGUAAACGGUGGGCGCUAGGUGUGGGGAACAUUCCACGUUCUCCGUGCCGCAGCUAACGCAUUAAGCGCCCCGCCUGGGGAGUACGGCCGCAAGGCUAAAACUCAAAGGAAUUGACGGA